AUGAGAAGGACAUAUACAAAAGAAAACAAAUUCCUUCCGCAAAAAGAAACGUUCUCCGCCACCCAAACGACCGAACCCCGAACGAACGGACGGGGCGAGGCCGCUCGAGCCGUCCAGAAUCUUCCGGCCCGCCACCCCGGGCCCACCGCCAGCCACACACCCAUCCCGUUGGAGAAUGACGGAAACGCCCCCGCCCCCCAUUUCUUUCCCCUUCCCCAAGCCGUUGCGGCGGGCCCCCGGGGGUUUAAGAGCAGAGGCCGCCUCCCGCUAGGGUUUUUCGGAUCUCACCUCUGCCCCUUUUCUCCAUCCCCGACUCGCCGCCGCCGCCGGGAGCCGACGACCCAACAAGCUCGCGCGCCAGCCAUGGCCAUCGGAUCUCUCCUCGCCUCGCGGCUGGCCAGGUCCGGCCACGCCCUCGCCACGCNNNNNNNNNNNCAGGCUCCCCGGACCCACCAACAUCAUCACGAGGCGUCUCCCCUGCUCUCCAGGCUCGGAGCCGUGGCCCGCGCUUUCAGCUCAAGGCCCGCUGCCGCAGAUGUCAUCGGGAUCGAUUUGGGGACGACAAACUCAUGUGUCUCCGUCAUGGAAGGCAAGACACCACGAGUGAUUGAGAAUGCUGAAGGUGCGAGGACAACACCCUCCAUUGUUGCCACAAACAACAAAGGCGAGAUCUUGAUCGGCAUCACUGCCAGUCGGCAGGCAGUGACAAAUGCCGAGAACACAGUUCGUGGGUCAAAGCGCCUGAUUGGUAGAGCUUUUGAUGACCCCCAAACACAGAAGGAAAUGAAGAUGGUGCCUUACAAGAUUGUCAGGGGAACAAAUGGUGAUGCCUGGGUGGAGAUGGCUGGGAAAUCAUACUCCCCAAGCCAGAUUGGUGCCUUUGUUCUUACCAAGAUGAAGGAAACUGCAGAGGCUUACCUUGGCAAGUCGGUCUCCAAGGCUGUUAUUACAGUCCCAGCUUAUUUCAAUGAUGCUCAGCGUCAGGCCACCAAGGAUGCUGGUAGGAUUGCUGGGUUGGACGUGAUGAGGAUUAUCAAUGAGCCCACUGCUGCAGCUCUGUCGUAUGGAAUGAACAACAAGGAGGGCCUGAUUGCUGUAUUUGACUUGGGUGGUGGCACAUUUGAUGUAUCAAUCCUUGAGAUUUCUAAUGGCGUUUUUGAGGUCAAGGCGACCAAUGGAGAUACUUUCCUUGGUGGUGAGGACUUUGAUGCUACAUUGCUCAACUACCUGGUUAGUGAAUAUAAGAACUCUGACAACAUUGAUCUGAGCAAGGACAAGUUGGCCCUGCAAAGGCUCAGGGAAGCUGCUGAGAAGGCGAAGGUUGAGCUUUCCUCGACUCCACAGACUGAAAUUAAUCUCCCCUUCAUCACAGCAGAUGCCUCUGGUGCGAAGCAUUUCAACAUUACCUUGACCAGAUCAAAGUUUGAGUCUCUUGUGGGCAAUCUCAUUGAGAGAACUCGCAUCCCAUGCACAAACUGCCUCAAGGAUGCUGGUGUUUCUGCAAAGGAGAUUGAUGAGGUUCUACUGGUUGGUGGUAUGACAAGGGUGCCAAAGGUCCAGGAUAUUGUUUCUCAGAUAUUCGGCAAGUCUCCAAGCAAGGGUGUCAAUCCUGAUGAGGCUGUUGCCAUGGGAGCUGCCAUUCAGGGUGGCAUCUUGAGGGGUGAUGUGAAGGAGCUCUUGUUGCUGGAUGUAACACCCCUUUCCCUUGGUAUUGAGACUCUUGGAGGCAUCUUCACAAGGCUAAUCAACAGGAACACCACAAUUCCAACCAAGAAGAGCCAGACCUUCUCCACUGCUGCAGAUAACCAGACGCAGGUUGGAAUCAAGGUGCUUCAGGGUGAGAGGGAGAUGGCCACAGAUAACAAGCUUCUUGGUGAAUUCCAGCUUGAAGGUAUUCCACCAGCCCCGAGGGGUAUGCCACAGAUCGAGGUCACUUUUGACAUUGAUGCCAAUGGUAUUGUCAAGGUGUCAGCAAAGGACAAGUCCACUGGCAAAGAGCAGGAUAUCACCAUCAAAUCUUCAGGUGGUUUGUCUGACAGUGACAUUGAGAAGAUGGUGAAGGAGGCGGAGCUAAAUUCUCAGAGGGAUCAGGAAAGGAAGUCGUUGAUUGACCUCAGGAACUCUGCAGAUACCACCAUCUACAGCAUCGAGAAGAGCGUCAGCGAGUACAAAGACAAGGUCCCUGCUGAAGUCGUCACGGAAAUCCAGUCUGCUGUCUCUGAUCUGAGAGCAGCAAUGGCUGGUGAUGAUUCGGACGCCAUCAAGCAGAAGCUGGAGGCGGCGAACAAGGCAGUCUCAAAGAUUGGACAGCACAUGCAGGGUGGUGGCGGCGCUGCCGGCGGCGACAGCGGCAGCAGUGGUGGUGGCGACCAGACUCCGGAAGCUGAAUACCAGGACCCCAAGGAGGCCAAGAUGUAG
rnacentral:rRNA from 1 species